AUUGAACGCUGGCGGCAUGCUUUACACAUGCAAGUCGAACGGUAACAGGGUGCUUGCACCGCUGACGAGUGGCGAACGGGUGAGUAAUGCGUCGGAACGUGCCGAGUAGUGGGGGAUAACGCACCGAAAGUUGUGCUAAUACCGCAUACGUACUGAGGUAGAAAGUGGGGGACCUUCGGGCCUCACGCUAUUCGAGCGGCCGACGUCUGAUUAGCUAGUAGGUGAGGUAAAGGCUCACCUAGGCGACGAUCAGUAGCGGGUCUGAGAGGAUGAUCCGCCACACUGGGACUGAGACACGGCCCAGACUCCUACGGGAGGCAGCAGUGGGGAAUUUUGGACAAUGGGCGAAAGCCUGAUCCAGCCAUGCCGCGUGUCUGAAGAAGGCCUUCGGGUUGUAAAGGACUUUUGUCAGGGAGGAAAUCCCUAGCGUUAAUACCGCUGGGGGAUGACAGUACCUGAAGAAUAAGCACAGGCUAACUACGUGCCAGCCGCCGCAGUAAAAC
rnacentral:rRNA from 1 species